rnacentral:rRNA from 1 species
AUUGAACGCUGGCGGCAUGCCUUACACAUGCAAGUCGAACGGUAACGGGUCCUUCGGGAUGCCGACGAGUGGCGAACGGGUGAGUAAUAUAUCGGAACGUGCCCAGUAGUGGGGGAUAACUGCUCGAAAGAGCAGCUAAUACCGCAUACGACCUGAGGGUGAAAGGGGGGAUCGCAAGACCUCUCGCUAUUGGAGCGGCCGAUAUCAGAUUAGCUAGUUGGUGGGGUAAAGGCCUACCAAGGCAACGAUCUGUAGUUGGUCUGAGAGGACGACCAGCCACACUGGGACUGAGACACGGCCCAGACUCCUACGGGAGGCAGCAGUGGGGAAUUUUGGACAAUGGGCGCAAGCCUGAUCCAGCAAUGCCGCGUGCAGGAAGAAGGCCUUCGGGUUGUAAACUGCUUUUGUCAGGGAAGAAAUCUUCUGGGCUAAUACCCCGGGAGGAUGACGGUACCUGAAGAAUAAGCACCGGCUAACUACGUGCCAGCAGCCGCGGUAAUACGUAGGGUGCGAGCGUUAAUCGGAAUUACUGGGCGUAAAGCGUGCGCAGGCGGCUUUGCAAGACAGAUGUGAAAUCCCCGGGCUCAACCUGGGAACUGCAUUUGUGACUGCAAGGCUAGAGUACGGCAGAGGGGGAUGGAAUUCCGCGUGUAGCAGUGAAAUGCGUAGAUAUGCGGAGGAACACCAAUGGCGAAGGCAAUCCCCUGGGCCUGUACUGACGCUCAUGCACGAAAGCGUGGGGAGCAAACAGGAUUAGAUACCCUGGUAGUCCACGCCCUAAACGAUGUCAACUGGUUGUUGGACGGCUUGCUGUUCAGUAACGAAGCUAACGCGUGAAGUUGACCGCCUGGGGAGUACGGCCGCAAGGUUGUAACUCAAAGGAAUUGACGGGGACCCGCACAAGCGGUGGAUGAUGUGGUUUAAUUCGAUGCAACGCGAAAAACCUUACCUACCCUUGACAUGUCAAGAAUUCUGCAGAGAUGUGGAAGUGCUCGAAAGAGAACUUGAACACAGGUGCUGCAUGGCCGUCGUCAGCUCGUGUCGUGAGAUGUUGGGUUAAGUCCCGCAACGAGCGCAACCCUUGUCAUUAGUUGCUACGCAAGAGCACUCUAAUGAGACUGCCGGUGACAAACCGGAGGAAGGUGGGGAUGACGUCAGGUCCUCAUGGCCCUUAUGGGUAGGGCUACACACGUCAUACAAUGGCCGGUACAGAGGGCUGCCAACCCGCGAGGGGGAGCCAAUCCCAGAAAACCGGUCGUAGUCCGGAUCGUAGUCUGCAACUCGACUGCGUGAAGUCGGAAUCGCUAGUAAUCGCGGAUCAGCUUGCCGCGGUGAAUACGUUCCCGGGUCU